UUGUACCACACGGGGUCUCCUUGUUUGUAUCGCACGGGCCACGCUCAAACUUUUCUGGAAUUGACCAAUCAGAGCUCGUUAAAACCAUUUGCUCUCUUCACGCGUCCUUUCCACAAGCAGGACGCUCAUUUACAUGCUCAUUUAGCCAAUGACUGGUGAGAGCAGUCAGCGUCAGGAUUCAGUCGACCACAGGACCCCAGUUGCCCAGGCCGGCGGGCGUGGAGAUACGUAGCCCCUUUGCCUUCUCUCAACCAGGGAUACAGACAUAAAAAGUUGCAAUACCAUGUGCCUUAGCUAGUGCGCAAGCUCUAGCCGGCAGUUGCCGUGUUAUAGCCGGGACAAUCACAUAUGCCAGAAGCCGUGGUCACAGCUGACUCAAGCCUCCCGGUCACAGAGCUGAUCAUGACAACUGACUCCAGUCUCCUUUGUGUAAAAUUUUGUUUCGAUAUUGUUGAUGAUGGUAGAAGAAGCAUGUUGAUAUCAUAUGUGUAUUAAGUAGUAGCAUCGUCGACAGAAAGAAGGAAACAUGGGAAGGAACCAGAUCAGUAGCAGAGCCAUCACGUGCAGGCUACGUAAUGCAUUGC